rnacentral:rRNA from 1 species
AUGAACAGUAACAGAGCUCAUGAGCCUGAUAACAUACCUGCUGAAUUCUAUCAGCAUUGUUGGGAAAUAGUGAAAAAAGACAUAAUGAGGCUAUUUCUUGCAUUUUAUGAGGAAAAGUUGGAUGUUCGUAGGCUAAACUAUGGUAUUAUCACUCUGCUUCCCAAGAUAAGUGGAGCUAAUAAGAUACAACAGUUCAGACCAAUAUGCCUGCUUAGGUGUCCUUACAAGCUGAUCACCAAAGUGCUUGACAAUAGAGCGGCUCCCUUUGCAGAUGUUCUCUUUAGUAAACAUCAAAAUGCUUUCAUUAAAAACAAGCAUAUAAUGGAUGGGAUUAUAUCUCUCCAUGAGAUCCUGCAUUAUACUCAUAUUAGGAAGAAAGUGGGGAUUGUUAUUAAGCUGAAUUUCAAAAAAGCUUAUGACAAAGUGAACUGGAAUUUUUUGUUGAAAUGCCUAGAAAAUAGAGGCUUUGGGAAGACUUGGUGUGGGUGGAUGAGAAAAAUCAUUCAAAAUGGAACUAUUAGUGUUAAGUUAAACAACAUAUUGGGGCCAUACUUCCAAAGCUUCAAAGGAGUCACUACUAGAAUCUGGAUCUUUGCCGUCAGCUAG